UACGGGGGGAGCAAGCGUUGUUCGGAUUUACUGGGCGUAGAGGGCGCGUAGGCGGCCACCGCAAGUCGAUUGUGAAAUCUCCGGGCUUAACCCGGAAAGGUCAACCGAUACUGCGGGGCUAGAGUGCAGAAGGGGCAACUGGAAUUCUCGGUGUAGCGGUGAAAUGCGUAGAUAUCGAGAGGAACACCUGCGGCGAAGGCGGGUUGCUGGGCUGACACUGACGCUGAGGCGCGAAAGCUAGGGGAGCGAACGGG
rnacentral:rRNA from 1 species